rnacentral:rRNA from 1 species
ACAAACGCUGGCGGCGUGCCUAAUACAUGCAAGUCGAACGGGUAGCAAUACCAGUGGCGCACGGGUGAGGAAUACAUAGAUAAUCUGCCUUCGAGUCGGGGAUAACCAGUCGAAAGACUGGCUAAUACCGGAUAAGACCACAGGAGCUGCGGCUCUAGGGGUUAAAGGUUUUUCGCUUGAAGAUGAGUCUAUGCGAGAUUAGCUAGUUGGUGAGGUAAUGGCUCACCAAGGCGACGAUCUCUAACUGGUCUUAGAGGAUGAUCAGUCACACUGGAACUGAGACACGGUCCAGACUCCUACGGGAGGCAGCAGUAGGGAAUAUUGCGCAAUGGGGGAAACCCUGACGCAGCGACGCCGCGUGAGUGAUGAAGGCCUUCGGGUCGUAAAGCUCUGUCGUAUGGGAAUAACACAAUGAAUGUACCAUGCAAGAAAGGAUCGGCUAACUUCGU